AACGUCUCACAAGCAGAUCACCCCCUCCGACACACACACAGCUACCUGGGACCAGUGAUGGGGAUAAAUGUGAGUCUGGGAGGUGAAAUAAAACAUUUUUUUUUACCCGUUUUUGAGACGUGCGAUUGAGUAGAGAUGACAGCAAUCCCAGGAAAGACGCUUGAUGUGGCUGUUGACAGAGGAAUUAUCAUCUAAUGAACCCAGCUGGGCGUUUCUUCUCAAUUAAGUGGAUUCCACCGGGAGAAUUCAGUGUGUGACGACGUGGAGCUGCUCCAUCUGCUGCCGCAUCGUGGCUGCUGCUUGUGGACGCCUUCACUGACGCGUGGACGUUGAGUGGAUCCAACGCGCGGUUUGUCUUUCUUGGGUUGCUAUGGAGACCGGAGGAGGAAACGACCAGCUGACUGUGUAAAGGUGCAGAACAGAAAUGUAAGAAAAGGUGUUGAGAUACUGCAAUCUGAAUUUCAUGCAUACCAGCCUGGCACAAAGCGGUAAUGUUAAGGAAGGUUAACAAAUGCAUCUACUUAAAAGGCCCCAUGAAAUUACAUAUAAUUACUUUCCUUGAAACAGCUAUACUCAAUAUUUUUAUAACAACAAUGGAUUGUCUUUAACAGAAAUGUCCUAAAAGAAACCCCUAACAUUUGAAACUUUACUUUCUCUUGAGCCAUGAUAGAC